AUUCCCAUCAGACUGCAGUGAAGAAAAAGACAUGGCAUACGUGUGGAACAGUGCUUUGCAGAAGAAAGCAGGAGAGCUUCAUGGGGACGCUUGGACCAUUGAAAUUGAUGAGACUAUUGAAGAAAACGGAGCAGCUCCAUCUUGGCAUCAGUACAUCUCUGGCUCUUUCGCACAGUUCAGGUGUUCCCUGUGUAGACGAGGCUGGGGGUCUUCGAAAGUGAAGGUGGUGUUUCAUUUCAACCUGAACACGGCAUCGAGACGAGGAACCAUUAAACUGCGGGGCUUCAAACAGGAGUGCAAGACGUGCUCGGCACCGCAGUGGGAGCGUCCACAGUUCCCAGUGGAAAACAUGGAUGUGCUGAUGGAGAAACUAGUUAAAAAGAUCCGCAUGAGAUGCUACAGGGAAAACCUGGGAGAGACAAACAGACCCCCAGUGUUCAAUGGCAGGAUUGAUGGGCCACACGAAACAGCUCAUUGUGAAGCCUGUCGACUCGGCCGCUGCAGUCAGGCCAAUUAACUGUGAAUGAAUCGAUGAAGUUAAUGAAUUUGUACUCAAAUUGUUGGUAACACUUUACAGUAACAGUACAUGAAUAAUGAUGUACUGUACUGAUAUGUUAAUUAAACGUUAUUACAGACGAGUUAAGUCAUGCGCUAAUUAAGAACUAACGUUAACUUUAACAUAGGUUCAUGUAUGAAUAAA
ensembl:processed_transcript si:ch211-276k2.1 si:ch211-276k2.1